rnacentral:rRNA from 1 species
GACGAACGCUGGCGGCGUGCUUAACACAUGCAAGUCGAACGGAAAGGCCCUGCUUUUGUGGGGUGCUCGAGUGGCGAACGGGUGAGUAACACGUGAGUAACCUGCCAUUGACUUUGGGAUAACUUCAGGAAACUGGGGCUAAUACCGGAUAGGAGCUCCUGCUGCAUGGUGGGGGUUGGAAAGUUUCGGCGGUUGGGGAUGGACUCGCGGCUUAUCAGCUUGUUGGUGGGGUAGUGGCUUACCAAGGCUUUGACGGGUAGCCGGCCUGGGAGGGUGACCGGCCACAUUGGGACUGAGAUACGGCCCAGACUCCUACGGGAGGCAGCAGUGGGGAAUAUUGCACAAUGGGCGGAAGCCUGAUGCAGCAACGCCGCGUGCGGGAUGACGGCCUUCGGGUUGUAAACCGCUUUCGCCUGUGACGAAGCGUGAGUGACGGUAAUGGGUAAAGAAGCACCGGCUAACUACGUG